rnacentral:rRNA from 1 species
CGCGUAGGUGGUUAGGUAAGCGAGAUGUGAAAGCCCCGGGCUUAACCUGGGAACGGCAUUUCGAACUGUCUGACUAGAGUGUGGUAGAGGGUAGUGGAAUUUCCUGUGUAGCGGUGAAAUGCGUAGAUAUAGGAAGGAACACCAGUGGCGAAGGCGGCUACCUGGACCAACACUGACACUGAGGUGCGAAAGCGUGGGGAGCAAACA